rnacentral:rRNA from 1 species
GUGGGGAAUAUUGGACAAUGGGCGAAAGCCUGAUCCAGCCAUGCCGCGUGUGUGAAGAAGGCCUUCGGGUUGUAAAGCACUUUAAGCGAGGAGGAAGGUUCGUCACCUAAUACGUGACGGAAUUGACGUUACUCGCAGAAUAAGCACCGGCUAACUCUGUGCCAGCAGCCGCGGUAAUACAGAGGGUGCAAGCGUUAAUCGGAAUUACUGGGCGUAAAGCGCGCGUAGGCGGUUGUGUAAGUUGGAUGUGAAAUCCCCGGGCUUAACCUGGGCACUGCAUUCAAAACUGCACGGCUAGAGUAUUGGAGAGGAAGGUAGAAUUCCAGGUGUAGCGGUGAAAUGCGUAGAGAUCUGGAGGAAUACCGAUGACGAAGGCAGCCUUCUGGCCAAAUACUGACGCUGAGGUGCGAAAGCAUGGGGAGCAAACAGGAUUAGAUACCCCGGUAGUCC